rnacentral:rRNA from 1 species
GUUAGGAAUAUUGGACAAUGGGCGCAAGCCUGAUCCAGCCAUGCCGCGUGAGUGAUGAAGGCCUUCGGGUUGUAAAGCUCUUUAGCCGAUGAUUAUAAUGACUGUAGUCGGAAAAUAAGCCCCGGCUAACUUCGUGCCAGCAGCCGCGGUAAUACGAAGGGGGCGAGCGUUAUUCGGAAUCACUGGGCGUAAAGCGUGCGUAGGCGGCUUUGCAAGUUGGGAGUGAAAGCCCAGGGCUCAACCCUGGAAUUGCUCUCAAAACUGCAAGGCUCGAAUUCGGGAGAGGAUAGCGGAAUUGUCAGUGUAGCAGUGAAAUGCGUAGAUAUUGACAGGAACACCAGUGGCGUAAGCGGCUAUCUGGACCGAUAUUGACGCUGAGGCACGAAAGCGUGGGGAUCAAACAGGAUUAGAUACCCUUGUAGUCC